rnacentral:rRNA from 1 species
GAUGAACGCUAGCGGCAGGCUUAACACAUGCAAGUCGAGGGGUAUAUUAGGUGCUUGCAUUUAAUAGAGACCGGCGGACGGGUGCGUAACGCGUAUGUAACUUGUCCUACACUAAGGGAUAGCCCGGAGAAAUUUGGAUUAAUACCUUAUGGUAUUUUAGCCACAGAAGUGGUUAUAAUUAAAGAUUUAUCGGUGUAGGUUAGGCAUGCGUCCUAUUAGCUAGAUGGUAGAGUAACGGUUUACCAUGGCUACGAUAGGUAGGGGUUCUGAGAGGGAGAUCCCCCACACUGGGACUGAGACACGGCCCAGACUCCUACGGGAGGCAGCAGUGAGGAAUAUUGGUCAAUGGGCGCAAGCCUGAACCAGCCAUGCCGCGUGCAGGAAUACAGCCUUAUGGGUUUUAAACUGCUUUUAUACAGGAGGAAAGUUAUCUUUGCGAAGGUUUUUGACGUUACUGUAUGAAUAAGGAUCGGCUAACUCCGUGCCAGCCGCCGCCGUAACAC